rnacentral:rRNA from 1 species
AAUGAACGUUGGCGGCGUGGAUUAGGCAUGCAAGUCGAGCGAGAAGGUUUAAAAAGAUACUUCGGUUGAUUUUUAAGCUGGAAAGCGGCGAAAGGGAGAGUAACGAGUAGAUACGUACCCAAGGGUUCGGAAUAGCUGCGGGAAACUGCAGGUAAUGCCGAAUAAUGUCUCCGGACCAAAGGUUUACUGCCCUUGGAGCGGUCUGCUUACUAUUAGCUUGUUGGUGGGGUAAAGGCCUACCAAGGCGAAGAUGGUUAGCGGGUGUGAGAGCAUGGCCCGUCUCACUGGGACUGAGACACUGCCCAGACACCUACGGGUGGCUGCAGUCGAGAAUCUUCCGCAAUGGACGAAAGUCUGACGGAGCGACGCCGCGUGAUGGACGAAGGCCCUCGGGUUGUAAACAUCUGUCGUAGGGGAGGAAAUUUUGACCGAUCCUAGGAGGAAGCACAGGCUAAGUUCGUGCCAGCCGCCGCCGUAACAC